rnacentral:rRNA from 1 species
GGGUAGCAAUACUUUUCAGUACCGGCGCACGGGUGAGUAACACGUAGGUAAUCUACCCUUAGGCGGGGAACAACCUCGAGAAAUCGGGGCUAAUACCGCAUGAUGCAACGAGACCACAUGGUUUUGUUGUUAAAGAUCCGCAAGGAUCACCAAAGGAUGAACCUGCGUCCGAUUAGCUAGUUGGCGGAGUAAUAGCCCACCAAGGCGACGAUCGGUAGCCGACCUGAGAGGGUGAUCGGCCACACUGGAACUGAGACACGGUCCAGACUCCUACGGGAGGCAGCAGUGAGGAAUAUUGGUCAAUGGCCGAAAGGCUGAACCAGCAACGCCGCGUGAGGGAUGAAGGUCUAAGGAUUGUAAACCUCUGUUAGGAGGGACGAAUGGUUUCGUAAUGAACUUACGGGACGUGACGGUACCUCCAGAGAAAGCCCCGGCUAACUCCGUGCCAGCAGCCGCGGUAAUACGGGGGGGGCAAGCGUUGUCCGGAAUUAUUGGGUGUAAAGGGUGCGUAGACGGAAUGGUAAGUCAGAAGUGCAAUGCUCAUGCUUAACAUGGGCGCUGCUUUUGAUACUGCUGUUCUUGAGUGCAGAAAAGGGAAGUAGAAUUCUCGGUGUAGCGGUGAAAUGCGUAGAUAUCGAGAAGAAUACCAGUAGCGAAGGCGGCUUCCUGGUCUGUAACUGACGCUGAGGCACG